UACGUAGGUGGCAAGCGUUGUCCGGAUUUAUUGGGUUUAAAGGGUGCGUAGGCGGUUCCAUAAGUCAGUGGUGAAAUACGGCAGCUUAACUGUCGAGGUGCCAUUGAUACUGCGGGACUUGAGUACAGACGAGGUAGGCGGAAUUGACGGUGUAGCGGUGAAAUGCUUAGAUAUCGAGAGGAACAUCAGUGGCGAAAGCGAGUUUCUGGUCGGAUUCCGACGCUGAGGCACGAAAGCGAAGGUAGCAAACGGGAUUAGAAACCCGAGUAGU
rnacentral:rRNA from 1 species